rnacentral:rRNA from 1 species
UUAAGCGACUAAGCGUACACGGUGGAUGCCCUGGCAGUCAGAGGCGAUGAAGGACGUGCUAAUCUGCGAAAAGCGCCGGCGAGGUGAUAUGAACCUUUGACCCGGCGAUGUCCGAAUGGGGAAACCCAGUGCAAUUCGUUGCACUAUCGUUAACUGAAUACAUAGGUUAACGAGGCGAACCGGGGGGAACUGAAACAUCUAAGUACCCCGAGGAAAAGAAAUCAACCGAGAUUCCCCCCAGUAGCGGCGAGCGAACGGGGAGCAGCCCAGAGUCUGAAUCAGCUUGUGUGUUAGUGGAAGCGUCUGGAAAGUCGCACGGUACAGGGUGACAGUCCCGUACACGAAAGCACACAGGUUGUGAACUCGAAGAGUAGGGCGGGACACGUGGUAUCCUGUCUGAAUAUGGGGGGACCAUCCUCCAAGGCUAAAUACUCCUGACUGACCGAUAGUGAACCAGUACCGUGAGGGAAAGGCGAAAAGAACCCCGGCGAGGGGAGUGAAACAGAACCUGAAACCGUGUACGUACAAGCAGUGGGAGCACCUUCGUGGUGUGACUGCGUACCUUUUGUAUAAUGGGUCAGCGACUUAUAUUCUGUAGCAAGGUUAACCGUAUAGGGGAGCCGAAGGGAAACCGAGUCUUAACUGGGCGUUAAGUUGCAGGGUAUAGACCCGAAACCCGGUGAUCUAGCCAUGGGCAGGUUGAAGGUUGGGUAACACUAACUGGAGGACCGAACCGACUAAUGUUGAAAAAAUUAGCGGAUGACUUGUGGCUGGGGGGUGAAAGGCCAAUCAAACCGGGAGAUAGCUGGUUCUCCCCGAAAGCUAUUUAGGUAGCGCCUCGUGAACUCAUCUUCGGGGGGUAGAGCACUGUUUCGGCUAGGGGGGCCAUCCCGGCUUACCAACCCGAUGCAAACUACGAAUACCGAAGAAUGUUAUCACGGGAGACACACGGCGGGUGCUAACGUCCGUCGUGAAGAGGGAAACAACCCAGACCGCCAGCUAAGGUCCCAAAGUCAUGGUUAAGUGGGAAACGAUGUGGGAAGGCACAGACAGCCGGGAUGUUGGCUUAGAAGCAGCCAUCAUUUAAAGAAAGCGUAAUAGCUCACUGGUCGAGUCGGCCUGCGCGGAAGAUGUAACGGGGCUAAACCAUGCACCGAAGCUGCGGCAGCGACACUAUGUGUUGUUGGGUAGGGGAGCGUUCUGUAAGCCGUUGAAGGUGGCCUGUGAGGGUUGCUGGAGGUAUCAGAAGUGCGAAUGCUGACAUAAGUAACGAUAAAGCGGGUGAAAAGCCCGCUCGCCGGAAGACCAAGGGUUCCUGUCCAACGUUAAUCGGGGCAGGGUGAGUCGACCCCUAAGGCGAGGCCGAAAGGCGUAGUCGAUGGGAAACAGGUUAAUAUUCCUGUACUUGGUGUUACUGCGAAGGGGGGACGGAGAAGGCUAUGUUAGCCGGGCGACGGUUGUCCCGGUUUAAGCAUGUAGGCGGAGGUUCCAGGUAAAUCCGGUACCUUUUAACGCUGAGGUGUGAUGACGAGGCACUACGGUGCUGAAGUAACAAAUGCCCUGCUUCCAGGAAAAGCCUCUAAGCAUCAGGUAACAUCAAAUCGUACCCCAAACCGACACAGGUGGUCAGGUAGAGAAUACCAAGGCGCUUGAGAGAACUCGGGUGAAGGAACUAGGCAAAAUGGUGCCGUAACUUCGGGAGAAGGCACGCUGAUAUGUAGGUGAAGCCCCUGCGGGUGGAGCUGAAAUCAGUCGAAGAUACCAGCUGGCUGCAACUGUUUAUUAAAAACACAGCACUGUGCAAACACGAAAGUGGACGUAUACGGUGUGACGCCUGCCCGGUGCCGGAAGGUUAAUUGAUGGGGUUAGCGGUAACGCGAAGCUCUUGAUCGAAGCCCCGGUAAACGGCGGCCGUAACUAUAACGGUCCUAAGGUAGCGAAAUUCCUUGUCGGGUAAGUUCCGACCUGCACGAAUGGCGUAAUGAUGGCCAGGCUGUCUCCACCCGAGACUCAGUGAAAUUGAACUCGCUGUGAAGAUGCAGUGUACCCGCGGCAAGACGGAAAGACCCCGUGAACCUUUACUAUAGCUUGACACUGAACACUGGUCCUUGAUGUGUAGGAUAGGUGGGAGGCUUUGAAGUGUGGACGCCAGUCUGCAUGGAGCCGUCCUUGAAAUACCACCCUUUAAUGGCUGGUGUUCUAACGUAGACCCGUGAUCCGGGUUGCGGACAGUGUCUGGUGGGUAGUUUGACUGGGGCGGUCUCCUCCCAAAGAGUAACGGAGGAGCACGAAGGUUAGCUAAUCCUGGUCGGACAUCAGGAGGUUAGUGCAAUGGCAUAAGCUAGCUUGACUGCGAGAGUGACGGCUCGAGCAGGUGCGAAAGCAGGUCAUAGUGAUCCGGUGGUUCUGAAUGGAAGGGCCAUCGCUCAACGGAUAAAAGGUACUCCGGGGAUAACAGGCUGAUACCGCCCAAGAGUUCAUAUCGACGGCGGUGUUUGGCACCUCGAUGUCGGCUCAUCACAUCCUGGGGCUGAAGUAGGUCCCAAGGGUAUGGCUGUUCGCCAUUUAAAGUGGUACGCGAGCUGGGUUUAGAACGUCGUGAGACAGUUCGGUCCCUAUUCUGCCGUGGGCGCUGGAGAAUUGAGGGGGGCUGCUCCUAGUACGAGAGGACCGGAGUGGACGCAUCACUGGUGUUCGGGUUGUCAUGCCAAUGGCACUGCCCGGUAGCUAAAUGCGGAAAAGAUAAGUGCUGAAAGCAUCUAAGCACGAAACUUGCCCCGAGAUGAGUUCUCCCUGAGACUUUAAGUCUCCUGAAGGAACGUUGAAGACGACGACGUUGAUAGGUCGGGUGUGUAAGCGCAGCGAUGCGUUGAGCUAACCGAUACUAAUGAACCGUGAGGCUUAACCU